rnacentral:rRNA from 1 species
UACGUAGGGUGCGAGCGUUGUCCGGAAUUAUUGGGCGUAAAGAGCUCGUAGGCGGUUUGUCGCGUCUGCUGUGAAAACCCGAGGCUCAACCUCGGGCCUGCAGUGGGUACGGGCAGACUAGAGUGCGGUAGGGGAGAAUGGAACUCCUGGUGUAGCGGUGGAAUGCGCAGAUAUCAGGAAGAACACCGAUGCGGAAGGCAGUUCUCUGGGCCGACACUGACAUG